rnacentral:rRNA from 1 species
AUUGAACGCUGGCGGCAUGCCUUACACAUGCAAGUCGGACGGUAACGGGCCUUCGGGUGCCGACGAGUGGCGAACGGGUGAGUAAUACAUCGGAACGUGCCCGAUCGUGGGGGAUAACGAGGCGAAAGCUUUGCUAAUACCGCAUACGAUCUACGGAUGAAAGCAGGGGACCGCAAGGCCUUGCGCGGACGGAGCGGCCGAUGGCAGAUUAGGUAGUUGGUGGGGUAAAAGCUUACCAAGCCGACGAUCUGUAGCUGGUCUGAGAGGAUGAUCAGCCACACUGGGACUGAGACACGGCCCAGACUCCUACGGGAGGCAGCAGUGGGGAAUUUUGGACAAUGGGCGCAAGCCUGAUCCAGCCAUGCCGCGUGCAGGAUGAAGGCCUUCGGGUUGUAAACUGCUUUUGUACGGAACGAAAAGCCUUCUUUUAAUACAGGAGGGUCAUGACGGUACCGUAAGAAUAAGCACCGGCUAACUACGUG